GAUGAAGAACGUAGCGAAAUGCGAUAAGUAGUGUGAAUUGCAGAAUUCAGUGAAUCAUCGAAUCUUUGAACGCACAUUGCGCCCCUUGGUAUUCCAUGGGGCAUGCCUGUUCGAGCGUCAUUUGUACCUUCAAGCUUUGCUUGGUGUUGGGUGUUUGUCUCGCCUUUGCGUGUAGACUCGCCUUAAAAUAAUUGGCAGCCGGCGUAUUGAUUUCGGAGCGCAGUACAUCUCGCGCUUUGCACUCAUAACGACAGCGUCCAAAAGUACAUUUUACACUCUUGACCUCGGAUCAGAUAGGGAUACCCGCUGAACUUAAGCAUAUCAAUAAGCGGAGGA
rnacentral:misc_RNA from 1 species